AUGUUUUAAUAUAAAAUGUAGCUGAGUUUAAUCUUUCAUCUUUAGAGUAGGGACGCGCCGAUACCACUUCUUCUAGAGCAAAUACAGGUUCAGGUUCAGGUACAGGUUCAGGUUCAGGUACAGGUUCAGGUACAGGUUCAGGUACAGGUACAGGUUCAGGUUCAGGUACAGGUUCAGGUACAGGUUCAGGUACAGGUACAGGUUCAGGUACAGGUACAGGUUCAGGUACAGGUUCAGGUUCAGGUACAGGUACAGGUUCAGGUUCAGGUACAGGUACAGGUUCAGGUACAGGUACAGGUACAGGUACUUAUAAGCUUUAAUUUGUUUAAAAUCUCCCUCUCCUGACGUACUGCAGCUUUAACUGUCGACCUGCUGGGAAACUAUGAUUCAUGGCACACGUUUUAAAUAACAGAGCACGUUGGCG